rnacentral:rRNA from 1 species
UCUAGUAUAAGCAAUCUAUACGGUGAAACUGCGAAUGGCUCAUUAAAUCAGUUAUCGUUUAUUUGAUAGUACCUUACUACUUGGAUAACCGUGGUAAUUCUAGAGCUAAUACAUGCUAAAAACCCCGACUUCGGAAGGGGUGUAUUUAUUAGAUAAAAAACCAAUGCCCUUCGGGGCUCCUUGGUGAUUCAUAAUAACUUAACGAAUCGCAUGGCCUUGUGCCGGCGAUGGUUCAUUCAAAUUUCUGCCCUAUCAACUUUCGAUGGUAGGAUAGUGGCCUACCAUGGUUUCAACGGGUAACGGGGAAUUAGGGUUCUAUUCCGGAGAGGGAGCCUGAGAAACGGCUACCACAUCCAAGGAAGGCAGCAGGCGCGCAAAUUACCCAAUCCCGACACGGGGAGGUAGUGACAAUAAAUACUGAUACAGGGCUCUUUUGGGUCUUGUAAUUGGAAUGAGUACAAUUUAAAUCCCUUAACGAGGAACAAUUGGAGGGCAAGUCUGGUGCCAGCAGCCGCGGUAAUUCCAGCUCCAAUAGCGUAUAUUAAAGUUGUUGCAGUUAAAAAGCUCGUAGUUGAACCUUGGGCCUGGCUGGCCGGUCCGCCUCACCGCGUGCACUGGUCCGGCCGGGCCUUUCCUUCUGGGGAGCCGCAUGCCCUUCACUGGGUGUGUCGGGGAACCAGGACUUUUACUUUGAAAAAAUUAGAGUGUUCAAAGCAGGCCUAUGCUCGAAUACAUUAGCAUGGAAUAAUAGAAUAGGACGUGUGGUUCUAUUUUGUUGGUUUCUAGGACCGCCGUAAUGAUUAAUAGGGAUAGUCGGGGGCAUCAGUAUUCAAUUGUCAGAGGUGAAAUUCUUGGAUUUAUUGAAGACUAACUACUGCGAAAGCAUUUGCCAAGGAUGUUUUCAUUAAUCAGUGAACGAAAGUUA